rnacentral:rRNA from 1 species
UACGUAGGGUGCAGGCGUUAAUCGGAAUUACUGGGCGUAAAGCGUGCGCAGGCGGUUUGCCAAGACAGGUGUGAAAUCCCCGGGCUUAACCUGGGAACUGCGCUUGUUACUGGCAGGCUUGAGUGUGGCAGAGGGGGGUGGAAUUCCACGUGUAGCAGUGAAAUGCGUAGAGAUGUGGAGGAACACCGAUGGCGAAGGCAGCCCCCUGGGCUAACACUGACGCUCAUGCACGAAAGCGUGGGGAGCAAACAGG